rnacentral:rRNA from 1 species
AGCGAACGCUGGCGGCAGGCUUAACACAUGCAAGUCGAGCGGGCCCUUCGGGGUCAGCGGCGGACGGGUGAGUAACGCGUGGGAAUGUGCCUUCUGGUCUGGAAUAACCCUGGGAAACUAGGGCUAAUACCGGAUACGCCCUUUUGGGGAAAGGUUUACUGCCGGAAGAUCGGCCCGCGUCUGAUUAGCUAGUUGGUGGGGUAACGGCCUACCAAGGCGACGAUCAGUAGCUGGUCUGAGAGGAUGAUCAGCCACACUGGGACUGAGACACGGCCCAGACUCCUACGGGAGGCAGCAGUGGGGAAUAUUGGACAAUGGGCGCAAGCCUGAUCCAGCCAUGCCGCGUGAGUGAUGAAGGCCUUAGGGUUGUAAAGCUCUUUUAUCCGGGACGAUAAUGACGGUACCCGAGGAAUAAGCCCCGGCUAACUUCGUG